UCUUCUUCUUUAUUUUCUCACGCUCAUCCCUCCUCUCCCCUGUUUCACGCAGCCCCUCCCCUUCUCUUCCAUUUUCUUUUUCUUCUCCCUUCUUCUUCCCACAUAGAGAGAGUUAGAGACCGAGAGAGGGGGACCAACUAAGUGAGAGAAAGGUCCAGCCAAGAGGUGCGAUUUUUGGAGUGAGACCCGAUCCUCCAAGGGUCUCGGUGGGUCAUCAAGGGGAGACGAUUCCCAGUGGGUUUUGACGGAUCGAAGCGGUGAACACCGGUGAAGCUGGGAUGACGCGAUUCAGUGGCCUGAGGUACGAUUUUCGGUGAUCUUCAAGAAGAUUCGUCUGUUGCUGAUUCCACCAUUUUUUUUUUCGGUAGAUUUCUCUACAGUGAAAUAGGAAUUCACAAGGCAAGUGUUCGGAUUGGCGACCUCAAUUAGUUCUCCAAUGUUGGGUUCAAGUAACUUGAAUAUGGGGGAAAUGUUGGAGUCAUGAGUCCUAUGCAGCCAAGGUUUUAAAUAAAAAUGCAAUUAAUUCCAUUAAUUUUGGGCUUAAAGUACACUUUGAGAAGACCUAGAAGAUAUGUUUAAGCUUAACCAAUCAUAUAGGUAUGUGGUUAAGUUUAAUCAAGUCAAGUGAAGGAUUAAAUCGGAAUUUCUCUACUAAGAGUCAAAAAUCGGAUUGGAUUCAAAUUUGGAUUCUGCAUAUGUCUCAGUGUUUAGAUCAUAACUUUUGUUUAAGAUAUCGGAUUGCAAUGAAAUUGGUGGCGUUGGAAAGCUAAUAAAAUAUUCAACAAAUAUGUCAGAAAUAGCUUUUCUCUUAUUCGAACGUUUACUAUGCCAAAAUCGCCCCGUAAUAAAAGACCGCAAUUCUGGCCGAAUUUGGAAUCCUUUUCCUACUUGGAUUGAAGUUUCAAUCUCCUACUUGGACAAGAAGACUCAAGAGACGAUUUUUCUGGAAUGGAAAGAGCUUCUAGGCCUUAAAAAAAAAACAUUGAGAAAAGACACUGCUACUUAGAGAAAAAUUCAGAGAAAAACUUCUUGAAGGCUUGAAGAGUUGAAGAGAAGUAAUCAUGGCAAGAGGCCAUUGCAGCAACAUCAUGAGCGGCUAAAAACUUUUGUAGGGUAUUGAUGUAGCCCUAUC